UAAUACGUAGGGUGCGAGCGUUGUCCGGAAUUAUUGGGCGUAAAGAGCUCGUAGGCGGUUUGUCACGUCUGCUGUGAAAUCCCGAGGCUCAACCUCGGGCCUGCAGUGGGUACGGGCAGACUGGAGUGCGGUAGGGGAGAAUGGAAUUCCUGGUGUAGCGGUGGAAUGCGCAGAUAUCAGGAGGAACACCGAUGGCGAAGGCAGUUCUCUGGGCCGUAACUGACGCUGAGGAGCGAAAGCGUGGGGAGCGAACAGGAUUAGAUACCCUGGUAGUCCACGCCGUAAACGUUGGGCGCUAGAUGUGGGGACCUUUCCACGGUUUCCGUGUCGUAGCUAACGCAUUAAGCGCCCCGCCUGGGGAGUACGGCCGCAAGGCUA
rnacentral:rRNA from 1 species